rnacentral:misc_RNA from 1 species
AAGGAUCAUUACCAUGAUUACAAAAACCAUAGUGGAUUGUGCGAACGUGUUUUGUGUGUGUGUAGGGUGCUAUGCAUCGUCAUACACUAUGCACAUACAUACAUGGGCGCACUGAACUAGAACCAUUUGUUUAGUUAUCAACACAAUCAUAACACAACUUUUAACAAUGGAUCUCUAGGCUCUU